rnacentral:piRNA from 1 species
UGUCUAGUCCUUGGCCAAGGGAGGCUUAGGU